rnacentral:tRNA from 1 species
ACCUGGCUGGCUCAGUUGGUAGAGCGUGCAACUCUUGAUCUCAAGGUCGUGAGUUCAAGCCCCACGUUGGGCA